GUGUUAUGGGGUGGUUAUCGAGGGGUAUGGGGUGGGUAUGGGGUGUUGUGGGGUGUUUUGGGGUGGUUUGGGUGCUAUGGGGUGUUAUGGGGUGUUAUGGGGUGAGAAUAGGGUGCUAUGGGGUGUUAUGGGGAGGUUUUGGGGUGGUAUGGGGUGUUAUGGGGUGGGUAUGGGGGGCUAUGGGGUAUUACGGGGUGUUAUGGGGUGAGAAUAGGGUGCUAUGGGGUGUUUUGGGGAGGUUAUGGGGUGCUAUGGGGUGCGAUGGGGUGGGUAUGGGGUGACCAUUGGUUGCUAUGGGAUGGCUAUGGGGCCGCUAUGGGGUAUGGGAAGGGGCAGCCUAUGGGGCAGCUCUAGGGUGUGCUAUGGCACACAUGGGGGGCGGCUAUGGGGCCACCCCACAGCACCGCAGAGCUGCCCCACACCCCACCCCAUAACACACCCCAAAGUCCACCCCAUUUCCCACACACCCCACCCUAUAGCCGCCCCAUAUCCCCCCAUAGCGCCCCACAGCGCCCCCUAGCGGCAGUCCUCCACUCCAUAGGUCUCAAUGCCCCACAGUGCCCCCUAGCGGCCACCUCCCACCCCAUAGGGCUGCAUUGUACCUCAUAGGGCUCAAUGACCCCACAGCGCCCCCUAGCGGCCACCGCCCACCCCAUAGGGCUGCAUUACACCCCAUAGGGCUCAAUGACCCCACAGCGCCCCCUAGCGGCCACCUCCCACCCCCAUAGGGCUCAAUGACCCCACAGCGCCCUCUAGUGGCGGUCCUCCACCCCAUAGGUCCCAAUGCCCCACAGCGCCCCCUAGCGGCAGUCCUCCACCCCAUAGGGCUCAAUGACCCCACAGCGCCCCCUAGCGGCCACCUCCCACCCCAUAGGGCUGCACUGCACCCCAUAGGUCCCAAUGCCCUACAGCGCCCCCUAGCGGCCACCUCCCACCUCAUAAGGCUCAAUGACCCCAC
rnacentral:lncRNA from 1 species